GCCAGCUCAAAAACCAGCUUUACAAGAAAACUCUUCGGUAACAGAGCAUUCGUUUCCUCACCAAGCUGCUCUUCCUUCACCUAAAUCUACCAGACAGCUGUUCAAGAAGCACUGCAACAAGAAGGGAUUCUGCAAACCGCUGCAUCUCUACAACCUCCUGACUGAGGCCAUACAGGGAGGAG